UACGAGGGGGGCGAGCGUUGUUCGGAAUUAUUGGGCGUAAAGGGUGCGUAGGCGGUUUUGGUAAGUCUGAUGUGAAAUCUAUGGGCUCAACUCAUAGUCUGCAUCGGAAACUGCCGGGCUUGAGUGUGGGAGAGGUGAGUGGAAUUCCUGGUGUAGCGGUGAAAUGCGUAGAUAUCAGGAGGAACACCUGUGGCGAAAGCGGCUCACUGGACCAUAACUGACGCUGAUGCACGAAAGCUAGGGGAGCAAACAGG
rnacentral:rRNA from 1 species